rnacentral:rRNA from 1 species
AUGGCGGCCGCGGCCACGAUCCUCGAGUUGGACCCUUCACACGAGCGCGCCGGCCGCGUCAUCGACGACAUCGUGCGGCUGGAGAAGAGGAUCUUCCCGAAGCACGAGUCGCUGGCGCGCUCGUUCCACGACGAGCUCAAGCGCCGGAACACCGGCCUGAUCUACUCGACGUCCGGCGUCGGCGACGACGAGGAGGUCGCCGGCUACGCCAUGUACACCUGCGCCACCUCCCUCUGCGCCUCCAUCACCAAACUCGCCGUGAAGGAGAGCUGCCGGAGGCAGGGCCUCGGCGAGGCGCUCCUGCAGGCCGCCGUCGAGAAGUGCCGGAGGAGGCGGGUCCAGCGGGUGUCCCUCCACGUCGACCCGGCGAGGACGGCCGCGGUGGCGCUUUACCGGAAGGCCGGGUUCCAGGUGGACGCCACCAUCGAGGGCUACUACUCCGCACAGAGGAAUGCUUACCGGAUGUACAUGGAUCUCUAG